CCAAACUUGGUCAUUUAGAGGAAGUAAAAGUCGUAACAAGGUCUCCGUUGGUGAACCAGCGGAGGGAUCAUUACCGAGUUUUCAACUCCCAAACCCCUGUGAACCUUACCUAUCGUUGCCUCGGCGGGACCGCCCCGGCGCCUCUGUGCCCGGAACCAGGCGCCCGCCGGAGGACCCGAAACUCUUGUAUUUUUCAGUGGAAUCUUCUGAGUGGCACAAGCAAAAUAAAUCAAAACUUUCAACAACGGAUCUCUUGGUUCUGGCAUCGAUGAAGAACGCAGC
rnacentral:misc_RNA from 1 species